GGAGAGGUGGCAGAGUGGUCGAUUGCGACGGUCUUGAAAACCGUUGAUCCGUAAGGGUCCGUGGGUUCGAAUCCCACCCUCUCCG
rnacentral:tRNA from 1 species